AGGGCAGGUCGUAACUGGCGCUGGGGUGGAGUACCACCGGGGAGCGGCCUCCGGAGUGUGUGUCGUGCGCCUGGGCAUUGACG
rnacentral:ncRNA from 2 species